rnacentral:rRNA from 1 species
CCUACGGGAGGCUGCAGUGGGGAAUAUUGGACAAUGGGGGGAACCCUGAUCCAGCCAUGCCGCGUGUGUGAAGAAGGCCCUCGGGUUGUAAAGCACUUUCAGUGAGGAAGAACGCCUGGUGGUUAAUACCCAUCAGGAAAGACAUCACUCACAGAAGAAGCACCGGCUAACUCCGUGCCAGCAGCCGCGGUAAUACGGAGGGUGCGAGCGUUAAUCGGAAUUACUGGGCGUAAAGCGCGCGUAGGUGGCUUGAUAAGCCGGUUGUGAAAGCCCCGGGCUCAACCUGGGAACGGCAUCCGGAACUGUCAAGCUAGAGUGCAGGAGAGGAAGGUAGAAUUCCCGGUCUAGCGGUGAAAUGCGUAGAGAUCGGGAGGAAUACCAGUGGCGAAGGCGGCCUUCUGGACUGACACUGACACUGAGGUGCGAAAGCGUGGGUAGCAAACAGGAUUAGAUACCCCUGUAGUC